CACGUAGGGAGCAAGCGUUGUCCGGAUUUAUUGGGCGUAAAGAGCUCGUAGGCUGUUCGAUAAGUCGGGUGUGAAACCUCCAGGCUCAACCUGGAGACGCCACCCGAUACUGUCAUGGCUAGAGUCCGGUAGGGGAGCGUGGAAUUCCUGGUGUAGCGGUGAAAUGCGCAGAUAUCAGGAGGAACACCAGCGGCGAAGGCGGCGCUCUGGGCCGGUACUGACGCUGAGGAGCGAAAGCGUGGGUAGCAAACAGG
rnacentral:rRNA from 1 species